GCUCCCUGACUCUCCCUGGGCUCCCGGCCACGCUGCUCCCCGUAGGGCUCCCCGCCUCCCUGAGACUCCUUCCGCCCCGUCCCCGGGCUCCCCAGUCCCCUACCCAGAACCCCACUGGGCUAGGGCGCACGUGGUCCACGCCCUCAUUGGCCUCCAUCGCUGUUCCUGUCCCCAGCGCGCUGGACACAAAAAACAUGGGAUCUCUGGCAGGCUGGAGGGGUGUGGGGAGUGCUUCCCUGAGUGGGGUCAAGGUAUUGAGCGGCACCGGUUAUCGGUUAUCGGUUACCCAGGGGCAGGACCCUGGUAGCCUCGCCUGCUCUCCGGGGAGGCCCCACAAACCCGUCACUCGUCACUGGUGGAAGCGCAUCUGCCAGUUUGGGCCGACACCUUUGACCCCCAUGAGGCUGGGGACCUGAGAACAGAGACCACCCUGGACCGCUGCCCGGCUGGCGGGCCGAUGAGCAAGACAGCCACCCAAAUGCGGGCCAUUAACAGUACAAAAAGUAACAAAACUGAAUUCACGGCUUUCUCUCCCAAGCUUUGAAAGGUAGCAGUCUGGGCUAUAAAAGUCUAAAAGCAUUGCGUAAGAGGUGUUAAAUCUACAGCAAAUACAUCUUGUAAAAACUCAAUAAAUUAUAUAUAUAGAUAUAUAUAAACUUGUAACAUCUAAUAACAUCUGAACCUGCGUGCAGGGUUGCCCACCCCCCCCCCCGAAACUGCCUCCUCACUCAGAACACAUGGCAAUUAGAACUUGUAUGAAAAUACCAGCUUGCUUUGAAGUCCAAAAAAUACAUCUCCUAAAGAAAAACCCUAUAGAAACCUAAUUCCCCUGUGAAAGAA